rnacentral:lncRNA from 1 species
GGGGGCUGAGGGCUUCAAUAUUACUGGUUGAGGAGCGACCCUAGUCCUCUGAGCUUCAUGGUUCAAUUGCUCCUCUUGAUGUCGUGCGAAAGAGAUGGCUGCCAUAAGCGUAUAUGGUUGUCGCGCUUUAACUUCUCCUCGGAUCUCCGGCUUCAAGCCCUUAAUGAAGGUCCUCAAUAGCUGUUUUUGAGACCAAUCACG